rnacentral:rRNA from 1 species
ANNCGGGAGGCUGCAGUAGGGAAUCUUCCACAAUGGGCGCAAGCCUGAUGGAGCAACGCCGCGUGUGUGAUGAAGGCUUUCGGGUCGUAAAGCACUGUUGUAUGGGAAGAACGGGUUUAAGAGGAAAUGCUUAAACAGUGACGGUACCAUACCAGAAAGGGACGGCUAAAUACGUGCCAGCAGCCGCGGUAAUACGUAUGUCCCGAGCGUUAUCCGGAUUUAUUGGGCGUAAAGCGAGCGCAGACGGUUGCUUAAGUCUGAAGUGAAAGCCCACAGCUCAACUGUGGAAUGGCUUUGGAAACUGGGCAACUUGAGUGCAGUAGAGGUAAGUGGAACUCCAUGUGUAGCGGUGGAAUGCGUAGAUAUAUGGAAGAACACCAGUGGCGAAGGCGGCUUACUGGACUGCAACUGACGUUGAGGCUCGAAAGUGUGGGUAGCAAACAGGAUUAGAUACCCUGGUAGUCCACACCGUAAACGAUGGAUACUAGUUGUUAGAGGGUUUCCGCCCUUUANUGNACAACCAAACGCAUUAAGUAUCCCGCCUGGGGAGUACGACCGCAAGGUUNAAACUCAAANGAAUUGACGGGGAACCCCACAAGCGGUG